rnacentral:tRNA from 1 species
GCUGUAGCUCAGUGGUAGAGCAUCUGCAGAAGGUCCCAGGUUCAGUCCUUGGCAUCUUCA